rnacentral:lncRNA from 1 species
UUUUUUCCUUGUGAUGUUAUUUUAAUUUAACUUAAACUACAUUACGCUAUGUUUUAUGCAAUAAAACAGUAAAGAGGUUUUCUAUAGGUGAAUUUUUACCUAUGUCAUUCGCGCGUUUGUCAAAUUGACUGAUGUGUAUGUGUACAUAGAGUGAGGUUAAUUUUGGGUUUAUUAUUGUUGAAUAGAUAAGUUUAUUUUGGCAGAGAAGAGAAAACGAGGAUAAACCUUUCUUGCAGAAGAAAAAGACAAGCUAGUGAAAUUGCUGACGUCUCAUAGAGACACAAUAUUAAACAAAAAACGGAUGGGACCACGAACGAAGCCAAAAACAAAGCUUGGAUCCAGUUACAAAUAGUUUUAAUGCGAUAGGAACCGUUUACAGUUUCAGGUGGUGCGAGAAAUUGGAAAGACGUGUAAAAACAUGCUGCGCCCAGCCCACCUCAAAUUGAAUUGGUGCAGGAGGAUGAUGAUAAUGUUUGGUACAUCAUAUGAGGACUAAUAUUAAAAUAUUUGUUUAC